GAUGAACGCUAGCUACAGGCUUAACACAUCAGCAAUGGAUUGGUGGCGGACGGGUGAGGAACGCGUAUAGAAAUUGCCUCACAGCUAGGGACAACAUUAGGAAACGAAUGCUAAUAACUAAUACGUUGAGAGAGCUUUGCGUCCCCUUAGCUAGUUGGAGAGGUAACGUCUCACCAAGGCGAUGAUGGGUAGCCGGCCUGAGAGGGUGAUCGUCCACAAAGGGACUGGGACACGGCCCUUACUCCUACGGGAGGCAGCAGUGGGGAAUAUUGGACGAGUGACCAAAGUCUGAUCCAGCAAUUCUGUGUGCACGAUGAAGUUUUCGGAAUGUAGAGGGCUGUCAGUUGGGAAUCGGUACCAACAGAAGAAGUGACGGCUAAAUACGUGCCAGCAGCCGCGGUAAUAC
rnacentral:rRNA from 1 species